rnacentral:sRNA from 1 species
CAAAUCAAAUACAAUAUGUCUGACAUUUAUUUCAUUUUUGCUCAAUCUAUAGACUCCCAGAAAAAAGAAAUUAAAAAAAACAAAGAAAAUUUAAAUGAACAAACAGACCCUUUUGGAACCCACUGUGACAUGAGACGUGUCCACAAGGAGAGGUUUCAGGCACACACUGAAGGAGCAUCUGCUGGACAGUCCUCCCCGCCCCCAAGUCCUUACCAAACUGUGCCACUGCAUACCCUGUAAAAAGUGUGUGGUGGUUGGUAAUGGAGGAGUUUUGAAGAAUAAGACAUUAGGAGAAAAAAUCGACUCCUAUGAUGUAAUAAUAAGAAUGAAUAAUGGUCCUGUUUUAGGACAUGAAGAAGAAGUUGGGAGAAGGACAACCUUCCGACUUUUUUAUCCAGAAUCUGUUUUUUCAGAUCCUAUUCACAAUGACCCUAAUACGACAGUGAUUCUCACUGCUUUUAAGCCACAUGAUUUAAGGUGGCUGUUGGAAUUGUUGAUGGGUGACAAAAUAAACACUAAUGGUUUUUGGAAGAAACCAGCCUUAAAUCUGAUUUAUAAACCUUAUCAAAUCCGAAUAUUAGAUCCUUUCAUUAUCAGAACAGCAGCUUAUGAACUGCUUCAUUUUCCAAAAGUGUUUCCCAAAAAUCAGAAACCUAAACACCCAACAACAGGAAUUAUUGCCAUCACACUGGCGUUUUACAUAUGUCACGAAGUUCACCUAGCUGGUUUUAAAUACAACUUUUCUGACCUCAAGAGUCCUUUGCACUACUAUGGGAAUGCCACCAUGUCUUUGAUGAAUAAG